ensembl:lncRNA
GUUUCAUUCCAGGCUACACCCAAAAUAAGGCAGCUAGACGUCAUUUGGGAGCACUGGCUUCUCUGAUAUUAAUAAGCCUGCACCAGACACGGCGUUACUAGGGGUAACCUAAGAAGACCUGGAUAGUAUAUACAUAAGGACUCUGCAAAUGAAGAUGAAGGCAGAGGAGCAGUCUGAAAAAAUGGUGUCUGACAUAAAAGUGCAUAUGAAGCAGAAGUGUGGAAUUGAAUUCAUGAGUUCAUCCAUGAAGAAAAAACUUCACCCACUGACAUUCAUUGGUGCUUGCUGAACUUUUAUGGAAAUCUAACAGUAGAUGUUGGCACAACAAGAUGGUGAGUGAUGAGUUUCAGCAGGGGUAGCAGCAAUGUGAAGACAAGCCAUGUUCUGGAUGGUCAUGCUCAAUGGUCACACCACAAAAUGAAGAGCGUCUUGUUAAGUUCAUCUGCACAAAUCAGUGAUUUAUAACCAGGGAACUUUGUGCAGACUGCAGUGUGUUGGAAAUGAUGUUGGCAACACAGGAAAAUUGCAAAGUUUGUGCCAGGUGGGUCCCAUGAAUGCUCACACAGGAACAGAAAGAGCACCACUUGCAAGUUUGCCAGGAUCUAUUGAACCAAUAAGAGCUUGAAGGUGAUAGCUUUCUCAAUCACAUUAUUACUGGUGAUGAGAUGUGGUGUCACCACUACAAACCAGUAUCAAAAUGUCUAUGGAGUAGCAACAUGUGAAUUCCCUG